AGCUCAGAGAUGCAAAAAGCCUGCGGCGCUCUGGAGGCGCCUGGUCCUGGGGACCUCUUUCCUCCACUCUGUUCUCAGCAUAGGAAGAUGGGGCUGGGGAAUUCUUUUUGGUUUUCUGGUUUUGUUUUGCUCUGGUUUUGGUCGGGGUUUUGUAUUUUUCUAUUCUUCCUUGGUUUUAUUUUUUCCUUUUUUUCCUUUUUUUUUUUCUUUUGCUUUCCUGUCAUUCUCCCAGCCAAAAGCCGCCUUCGACCCUUUUGAUUUGAUGUAGCAAAGAGUGUGUGUCCAGAUUAUCUGAAAUAGACACUGAAGAAGCUACAUAGAUGGUCAAGCAGGGCCCGGAAGAAGACCAUUCAGGAAAAAGUGGUCCAGGACUCGGUGGAUGGGCUGCCGGCAGACCGGUGUGGCUCAGACCUGGUGACUUUUUGGAGAGGUCGUAGAAUGAGGACAGCAGACACACGAGGACCUUGACUUCGGCGCACAGACAGUGCAAAAAGGAGACAAAGACGGACAGAAUCAAAAAAGAGCGUAUUUCCCCCUCCUACGUAUUUGUUUUUCCUGAUAGUCUCACAAAGAUGAGAGUCUGGUCCGGUCCAGCGGGUUAUCUUGUGGCACUGGCUGUCUCCAGUGGCUGUGCCUGCGCUUUGAGGCCACUCUGCUGUUCACCGUGGCCCAAACCAGAUUCGGGCUGAAAGGUCGCUGAGUCAGACUUUUAGGGGCUCCGAGAAGCAGCAAGCCCUCUGCCUUCACUGUUCCUUUUUCUUUUAUUUUUAGCUCCCCACCCCCACCCCUGCUCCCGCUCGUGGGCUCUUCUCCUCCUGGCCCAGGGCGUGCGAAAAGGUGGAUGAACCUGGAGGCGGGAGGGGCCGGGCCAAGGGAGACGGGCAGGAAGCGGGUGAGUGCGAACUGAUAACCUCACAUCAGUUGAGGCUGCUGCAUAGCUUCUUGGUGCGCUGAGGGAUACCAUGAUGUAUAGCUGGGGACGUAGGAGCCAGCGCUGCUGCCGGAGCCCUUCCCAGAUGAGGAGUUCGGAUUCCAGCCGGGUGGUACCGGUGGGGAGCCGGCAGACAAGGCUCUGCCGUUCGCCAGCGCGCUGCCCUCCAGAGCUGCCCCGCCUUGCUUCAUCAGCUUCUUGAACUUGGAGCGUUUGUUCUGGAACCAUAUCUUGACCUGCAGGAUCGGGCGACAACGUGACUGGACUAUGACCAUUGAGCCUACCCAGGUCCAAGGAGAAAAGGGACGGGUGGACAACAAUACCCGCCCUCCUUGCUUUGGGAAAGCUGACAGCUCCAGGACAGAGGGGCAGAGACCACCGCCUCCCCACACCCCAUGAGGGCCAAAGGCCAGAAAAUUGAGCCCCAGGUCCAGCCGCUGUUGGCAACUUUUAGAGCAGCUAUCAGAGCCGGGAAUAAGAGAACAGGGGAGAGCCAGGCCUUGGCUUGCAAAUGAGACGAUGCCACCUGGGCGACGUUUAUGGAAGACCUCAUGCAGCACAAUGCAAUAACAAUAAAGAAAAUUUAAAACCUAGAUAGGAACGGGGUGGGGGGCGGGGGCAUUUGUUAAAAUUAGAUCUCCUUUCCUCGUAGGACUAUUGGAAGAGGCUACAGCGUCUUUGUUAAACUCUUUAGACUCAAACCAAUUCUCCCCCCCACCCCCAACGGUGUAUUUGCUUUCCCCAGCUCCAACCUAAAUCUAGAGACAGACUGGCCCUCGUUCGAAUGCCUAGGAACUGCCCAGGGUCUUAGAGAAGUGCAGGAAGAAAAAAGAAAAAUCUCACUUUUUUUUUCCCCCUUCUUCUUAAGGAUCUGGAACUUGGGAAGUGAAGGGCCAGAGGGAAGGAUCUGCCUCUGCCACCUCGCAAGAAGAAGGAGGUGGGGGAAGCAGGCUUAGGCCCAGGACCUGAGUGAUUAGUGGCACACUUUAAAGGCUAAGGAAGAUUAAAUCCCCCUUCUAUUGUUCCAGUUGUUCAGGCACGUGUGACCUCAGAACCUCCAAACAAAACGUCUGGGGAAAUCCUUCCAGUUCCCUGCCUGGUCAGAAGACCAGGUAGCCUGCAGGUCAGAGAGUAGGGUCCGAGCUAGGGCAAACAGUUUGAGGGAGGAAGAGGAGACGCUGAAAGUCAGAGGUGGAUACACACACACACACACACACACACACACACACACGGGUUGGGGGGCGGACUGUGACACCUAGAACCAGAGGCCCAGCGAACAAAAAAUGUGAAGCCUGGGGCUGGAGCCCAGCUCCCGAGGCUUGUUUGGCAGAGCGGCCAGGUACCUGCGUCUGUGUGAGUCCCAAGGAGGCCGCCAGCUCCGCCCUCUCAGGCAGAGCUAAGUACUGAGUUUGUUGGAACCUCCGGUUCAAAGCCUGCAACUGCAAACUGGAAUAAAUUGUCCUGGGUUUACGGAUCUUUUUCCCUUUGCCGUUAAAGCGCACCUCGCCGCCUUCCACCACCGUACUCUUCUCGGAGUCCGCCCCUGGAGGGACAACAGAAGCAGAGACCCUUGUUAAUGCUGCACUGCCUUUAGUGAGGAGGGACGAGAAUGAAUGUCUAUGGAUGGGUUGGCAGAAGUAGGGUCCGGAAAAGAACGUUCAAGAAACCCUGAAAGACUGCGAAGGUCCCUCAAGGUCCGAGCGCACGUCCCUGGCUGCUGCAGACAGAAUUGGGUCGUUCCCAAGAGCGCAGCUAUUGCCUUUGCAGAGAAAGUUUGCUAUUUUUUGCAGGCGGUAGUUGAGGUUUAAUUACCCUUAAUUGCAUACAUUGUUUAUAGCGCUACGCAAUAAAUAAUUACCGAG